GACCUCCAUCUUUGUGUUCAGGCACAGUGAGUGGCUUUGGUCUGGACUUCCUGCCCUCUGCGACCUGUACCGCAGCCUCAGAGACCAGCUGGCACCAGACAGGACCCGGUGGUAGCUCCUGGACCAAUCAGGAGUCUCCAAUGGAGGACUCGUCCUCCACCGUUCUGCUCGACAGCCUCAAGUCCAUCUGGUCCAGCUCGAUGAUGCAGCCUGGUCCGUCGGCGCUGGAACAGCUCCUCCUGCAGCAGAAACAGAAGCAGCAGCGAGGUCACGGCACCAUGAACCCGCCUCACUGAAACAGAACCAGAGGCAGAGCUUUGUGUCUGAACAACCAAAACCAGCACCACCUGGAAAUACGGAUGGAGGAGAAAAAUCCAACCAGAAGUUUGAGGAAGACUUGCUCCAACUGAAAAAGCAAGUGGUGACGAGUGGUGGAGUGGGGCGGAGGUGUGACUCCCCAGACGAGGCUGAAACACCAACCGUGGAGCACUAACGCCCCCUGGAGGACCAGAGGGUGUAGGAUUUCUUCAACCAUGGCGUGUACAUGUGGGCGCUGCUGCCGGGUUUUUCUCUUAAACCCGAUGAAAUCACAACUUUAAGAAACAGUGCCACCUCCUGGUUGUAGACCCACACCACGUCUUCAUUUGAUCUUUGUCUGUAACCACGCGGCCUCGUUGGAGCACCAGCUUUUAGGGUUUCCACUCCACAGGCUGCAGCAGGUGGCGCUGUGACAGAGCAAGGACAGCGUGGGGGUGAGGUUAAACAGGGGGUUCCAGGCCCUUAAUCUAAUUCUUUACUGAGGAGGGGGCGGCGCAAGGCUGUGAUUGGCUGAGCAGAGGAGGGUGACAAAGGAACAGACUUUUACUGCUGACACCAGGUCUGUGUCUCCACACCUGGACUGACGCAGUGGUGGGAGGAAGAUGGGGGGGGCGGGGGGUGGGGGGGGGCAUGUAGUGUGUUAGCAGCGUUAGCUUCAAGACUAAACCUGUGAUUGUGAUUUGGUCGUAGCGGUUUUCAGCUUCCCGUCCUCUCAGCUGUGUGGCUGCUGUCCUGUGUCGUCUUCUUCUUCUUCUUCUUCUUCUUCUUCUUCUGUAUCCUUGACUUCCUGUUUCCUCUUGUUAUGAAAUCAUGUAUCCUGACACUGUUUCCUGUUCACAGCGCCUCUAUUUUUCAGCCACUUCAUCUUCGUUUUCCUGCUUAAAUCUGCACUUUUUAUUUUCACAAAAUUUUCACUGGUUUUUGAUCAGAUAAAGAAAAAACCAGAACCUUUAGAAAAGUUGGUGACUGACGGAGGAUCAGUUGUAUUCCUGCUCCCCCCUCUUCUUUUAGUCCCUGAAAACUUCAGAGCCAAUCAGAGCACAGCUCGCUUCAGUCAGCCAAUCCAAGGCUUGCUCAGGCGUUCAAGAGAGGAAGCAGUGUGGAUGACCUUUGACCUUUCUUAGUGAAGCAGACGUGUUUUCUGUGAUUGUGUUUUUGAACAAAAAAGCAAAGAUGAAACUUCGAAGGACGGCGUUCACGUGAUCUGAGCUGCACGUCCUCUCUGACUUUAUUCUUUUUAAAUUUGAAUUCAUCUGAAUGACGUCUUGGAUUGGACGGAUUCUGAUUGGUCGGAGACGUGUUGUGUUUCUAGUGGAAUGAGCCUUUAAUAAAAGCUAGCCAUGUUCUCCUGA